rnacentral:rRNA from 1 species
GUGGACGCCAGUCUGCGUGGAGCCGACCUUGAAAUACCACCCUUUAAUGUUUGAUGUUCUAACGUGGACCCGUAAUCCGGGUUGCGGACAGUGUCUGGUGGGUAGUUUGACUGGGGCGGUCUCCUCCUAAAGAGUAACGGAGGAGCACGAAGGUUGGCUAAUCCUGGUCGGACAUCAGGAGGUUAGUGCAAUGGCAUAAGCCAGCUUGACUGCGAGCGUGACGGCGCGAGCAGGUGCGAAAGCAGGUCAUAGUGAUCCGGUGGUUCUGAAUGGAAGGGCCAUCGCUCAACGGAUAAAAGGUACUCCGGGGAUAACAGGCUGAUACCGCCCAAGAGUUCAUAUCGACGGCGGUGUUUGGCACCUCGAUGUCGGCUCAUCACAUCCUGGGGCUGAAGUAGGUCCCAAGGGUAUGGCUGUUCGCCAUUUAAAGUGGUACGCGAGCUGGGUUUAGAACGUCGUGAGACAGUUCGGUCCCUAUCUGCCGUGGGCGCUGGAGAACUGAGGGGGGCUGCUCCUAGUACGAGAGGACCGGAGUGGACGCAUCACUGG